ACCACAUGCCAUUAUCUAGAAUGAUCCAGACAGAACCUCUACACCAAGGACAGAUAAAGACAGGAGGCAAAGGGAGCCAAGGGGUUUAACAUCAAGGCCCCAGAAUCCUCCCCUAUCAUCAGGGCCAGGAGACAACGGGAAGAGUUAAAAUCCAGGCCCGCAGUCUGCAGUCUCUGAGCCAGCUGAGCCCCACCCGGGGCGAUAACACUUCGGAUGGGGGGGGGGGGGGGCACAGUGCAGGGGACACAGAGCUUCCAGUCUGUCUCCCCACCGCGACACCUGAGGAGCGAGGGGAUUAGAGCAGAGGGGCGUGUGUGGGAAGGGGAGGCGCGUGAGAGAACGAACGGAUCGGAGAUUCCCAAAGGUCCUGGAGAACUCCGCUUCCGGGCUCCCCUAGAAGUUGCAAAGCUGGUUCUGUGUCUGCGGGCAGGGCGGCCGCCCCGACGGAGGGCGGGGGAGACGAGGCGGACGUGGGAUCUUACUUUUGUAGCUCGCUGCCCAGGGCUGGUAGCCGUAGUAGCCGGUGAUGCGCAGGAUCCGCUCCUCGAUGGACGUGAGCCCCAGCGGCCCGCUGCUGAGGUCCUCCACGGAGCGCGACCAUUUCAGAUCCUCCUUGAUGGCCUCGUCCACCACCAGGCAAAACUACUUGCAGAAACAGAAACCUGGUUCCGUGUGCACGAAAACGCUGCUCCAGACAGAUGCCAAAUGAAAAGUAGCGUCUCCUCGGCGAAGCCGAGCCCCGGGUGGUGAAAACGAAGUAUUGCGCUGUGGGGCUAGUUCAGUGGGGCCCGGCCCUCAGAGGGCUUGCCUUCUCGCCGAUGACGACGCAAUCACUAAAUCAGGUCUGUCUCCUUAGAUUUCCAUUUUACUUGGCCUCUAUCCGUUUUUCUGUCCGCAAGCCAUUCCCUCCAGAACACCUCAAUACUUUCUUAUUUUUCUGUUACAGAAAACAACAUAGGCUCAUUGGGGGAAAUUUUAAAAAAUAAAGAAACGUGUUAAGAAAAUACUCAUCGUCCAGCUAAAGAUGACUGCUUUGAAUUAUAAGUGUAUUCCCUUCCACUCUUUUCUACCCGUAUAAAAUACAUUUUUCGCAAAAUCAGAAUCCAAUUGUACACACUAUUUAUUGUAUAAUGUUUUAUACUAAAAUUCUGUUGUGUCUCCGCAAACUAGGAAUAGAAGGGAACUUCCCUAAAUUAGUAAAGGACAUCUACAGAAGCCGACAGCCAAUACCGGAUUUCACGGAAAGGAACUUCCUGAGUAAGAUCAGGAGAAAGGCAAGGAUGUCUCUUCCCACUACUCCUUUUCAGUAUAGACUGCAAGUCCAACUAAUAUAAUCUGUAAGAAAAGAGAAUGAAAGAGUGUAUCUUUUGGGAAGGAGGAAAUAAAACUGUCUUUGUUCACAGGUGACAUGAUCAUCUAUGGAGAGAAUUUAAAGCAACUGAACAAAAAUUAACCUGGAACAAGCCUUGGUUAUAGCAAGUUUGUCUGAUACAAGAUUAAUGUACAAAAGUCAAUCUACUUUCUACAUACCAACAAUGAACAAUUGGAAUUUAAUAUUUAAAACAUAAUAUCACCGACUUUAGCACACAGAAGUGAAAUACUUAGGCAUCAAUAUAAUAUGUGCAAGAUACAUAUGAGGAAAAUUGCAAAGCUCUGAUGAAAACAAUCAAAGAAGACCUAAAUGCAACAUAUCUCAUGGUCAUUGGCAAGAAUACCCAAUAUUAAGAUGUCCGUCCUUCCCAACUUGAUGUACUGAUUCAAAGUUAUCCCAACCAGUCUCUCUGCAAGUUAUUUUGUGGUUAUCAGCAAACUGAUUCUAAAUUGGGCAAAUUCUCAUCUGAGCAAAAGACCCAGAUUAGCCAACAAAGUAGUGAAGAACAAAAUUGGAGGGCUGACAGUACCCAACUUCAGGACUUACUAUAAAGCAACAGUAAAUGAUACCAUGUGGGAUUGGUGAAAGAAUGGACAGAGGGAUAAGUGGAACAACAUAGAGAACUCAGAAACAGACUCAUAUAAAUGCAAGCAAGUCAUCUUUUACAAAAGAGCAAAGUCAAUUUAAUGGAGAAUGGAUAAUGUUUCAACAAAUGAUGCUGAAGCAGCUGGACAUCUGGAUGAAAAAUUAUGAUCAGAAGCCUAAAUAUAAAUUGAAAAUACAUAAAAAUUAUUAGAAAAUAACAUCAGAGAACAUCUAGACAACCUUUGGUUUGGUGAUGACUUUUUAAGAUUUUAUUUAUAUAUUUAUUUAUUUGAGAGAGAGAGGGCAGAGUGAGUGACAGAGAACAGGAGUGGGGGGAGGGGCUGAGGGAAAGGGAAAGGGAGAAGCAGACUCCCCGCUGAGCAGGGACCUGGAUGCUGGGCUCCAUCCCAGGACGCUGUGAUCAUGACCUGAGCCGAAGGCAGACACUCAACCAACGGAGCCAUCCAGGCACCUCUGGUGAAGACUUUCAACACAAAAUCAAAAGCACGAUCCAUGAAAAAGUGCUGAUAAUUUAGACUUCAUUAAAAUUGCAAACUGCUCUCCAAAAGACAUAGUCAAGAGAAUGAAAUGACAAUUCACAGAAUGACAGAGAAUCUGCAAAAGCCAUAUCUGAUAAAGGACUAUUAUCCAAAAUAAGAAUACUCAAAACUCAACAAUAUGAAAAUGAACAACCCAAUUUAAAAAUUGGCAAAAUAUCUUAACAUACAUGUCACCCAAGAUGAUAUACAGAUGGCCGAUAAGCUUGUGAAAAGAUUCUCAACAUAUGUCAUCACGCAAUUACAAUUUAAGACAAUGAGUGAGAUACCACGGCACACCUGCUAGAAUGGACAGAGUCCAAAACUCUGACACCAUCAAAUGCUGUUGAGAAUAUGGAGCAAUAGGCUACUCUCCUGUUCACUGAUGGUGGAAACGCAAAAGUUUUGCAGUUUCUUACAAAACUUACAAAACCAAAUAUACUCCAGCAAACUCAUGCUUUGGUGCUUUUGUAAAUUAGGUUGAAAAUAGAUGUCCACACAAAACCUGCACACAAAAAAAUCAUCAUUAUUAAUAAUUGCCAAAACAUGGAAGCAACAAAGAUGUCCUUCAAUAGGCAAACAGUAUGAUACAUUUGUACAAAGGUACAUUAAUGAGCUUUCAAGUCAUGAAAAGACAGGGAGGAACCUUACAUGUAUAUGGUCAAGUGAAAGAAGCCAACCCAAAAGGUGAUAUACUAUAUGAUUCCCACCAAAUGACAGCUACGGAGACAGUAGAAAGAUCAGUGGCCACCAGGGGUUCCUGGUAGGGGGAGUAGUGGUAGGAAGGGAGGGAUGAAUGAGUGUGCACAAGUUGGGGGGUGGAUUUUUAAGUCAGUGAAACUAUGAGUGAUAUUAUAAUGGUGGAUACAUGCCAUUUUAAUAUCAUUAUAAUAAUUUGUCAAAAUCUAUAGAUUGUGCGACACCAAGAAUGAACCCUAGUGUGAACUAUGGACUAUAGUGGUUAAUGAUGUAUGUAACAAGCAUACUACAAUCAUGCAGGAUGUUGAUGCUGGUGGGGAGGCUGUGUGUGUAUGUGGGGGUGGCAGGGAUUUGGGAACUCUGUAUUUCUUCCUUAAUUUUGUUGUGAACCUAAAAUUGCUCUAAAAAAAAAGUUUAUUCAUUUAAAAAUUA